AGGAGAUUCUAAGUUUUGAAGGAUCUGUAAGACUUAUUGUUUAAGGCCGAGUCAUGCAGUUCCUAGCUUAGACAUUUCAAACAAAUUCUUCAAAAUUAUAUUUUAUACGUAAAUUGUUUGCAAUUUUGUUUCGGAUUACGCAUCGAUGAUAGAAAGGCGAUUCUCUAUUUGUUUAUACGACUUUAGCUAUUGCAAGAAUUUCAUUCUCGCUACUGAAUUCCAACAAAUCUAGUUUAAACCGCCGCGUGUUCGACUUGCACAUUAAUGAAAUACUGUUUUGAUAAUUCUUUCGGAUCGAUGAUUUUGUACUUUCAAUAUAUUGUUCCUUUGUGAUAAAACGUGUAUAAGAUAUUGCGUUCAUAUAAAUUAUUGCAUGUCCGGUUAAUUGUGAUAUAGCUGUUUCUAUCCAAAAUCGACAUAUAUACAUGAUCUUUCUCAAAGUAAAACUAUUCAUGAAC